rnacentral:rRNA from 1 species
GCCCACGGCCAUGCCACCCUGAACGUGUGGGAUCCGAUCUCAUCUGACUGCAGCAGCUAAGCAGGGUUGGGCCUGGUUAGUACUUGGAUGGGAGACAGCAAGAACUUAAAUGCAUUUACACGUGGACC